GGGGCUGUAGUGUAGCUUGGUAUCAUUCUACCUUGGGGUUCGCACCUCAACCCUGGAGUUCCGGGGAACGAGGAUACCAAACUGGUAGCGACGGGAGUUCAAAUCUUCCCAGCCCCA
rnacentral:tRNA from 1 species